rnacentral:rRNA from 1 species
UACAGAGGCCACGAGCGUUAGGCGGAAUCACUGGGCUUAAAGCGUGUGUAGGUGGAUCGGUAAGUACCUUGUGAAAUCCCACGACUCAAUCGUGGAACUGCUUGGUAUACUGCCAGUCUUGAGGUACUCAGGGGCGAGCGGAACAGAUGGUGGAGCGGUGAAAUGCGUAGAUAUCAUCUGGAACGCCAAUGGUGAAGACAGCUCGCUGGGGGUAUUCUGACACUGAGACACGAAAGCCAGGGGAGCAAACGGG